rnacentral:rRNA from 1 species
GUGUCAGCAGCCGCGGUAAUACGGAGAGUGCAAACGUUGUUCGGAUUCAUUGGGCUUAAAGGGCACGUAGGCGGUCGGCUUAGUCGGAUGUGAAAUCCCUCGGCUUAACCGAGGAACGGCAUCCGAUACUGGCCGGCUUGAGCGAAGAAGGGGAGAGCGGAACUUCUGGUGUAGCGGUGAAAUGCGUAGAUAUCAGAAGGAACGCCGGUGGCGAAAGCGGCUCUCUGGUCUUCUGCUGACGCUGAGGUGCGAAAGCCAGGGGAGCAAACGGGAUUAGAAACCCGAGUAGUCC